rnacentral:rRNA from 1 species
GAUGAACGCUAGCUACAGGCUUAACACAUGCAAGUCGAGGGGAAACGACAUCGAAAGCUUGCUUUUGAUGGGCGUCGACCGGCGCACGGGUGAGUAACGCGUAUCCAACCUGCCCACCACUUGGGGAUAACCUUGCGAAAGUAAGACUAAUACCCAAUGACGUCUCUAGAAGACAUCUGAAAGAGAUUAAAGAUUUAUCGGUGAUGGAUGGGGAUGCGUCUGAUUAGCUUGUUGGCGGGGUAACGGCCCACCAAGGCGACGAUCAGUAGGGGUUCUGAGAGGAAGGUCCCCCACAUUGGAACUGAGACACGGUCCAAACUCCUACGGGAGGCAGCAGUGAGGAAUAUUGGUCAAUGGACGAGAGUCUGAACCAGCCAAGUAGCGUGCAGGAUGACGGCCCUAUGGGUUGUAAACUGCUUUUAUAAGGGAAUAAAGUGAGUCUCGUGAGACUUUUUGCAGGUACCUUAUGAAUAAGGACCGGCUAAUUCCGUG